CUUGGAAGCAGCCAUUCAUUUAAAGAGUGCGUAACAGCUCACUAGUCGAGCGAUCCCGCGUGGAUAAUACACGGGCAUAAAACUGUCAACCGAAGCCGUGGGGUUAGCUUUAUUGCUAACCGGUAGGAGAGCAUUCCUGCCAGCUUUGAAGGUCACCCGCGAGAGUGACUGGAGCGGCAUGAAAAGCAAAUGUAGGCAUAAGUAACGAUAAUGGGGGCGAGAACCCCCCACGCCGCAAGACCAAGGAUUCCCCGGCAAUGUCAAUCAGCCGGGGGUCAGCCGGCCUCUAAGGCUAACCCGAAGGGGGACGCCGACGAGAAACGGGUUAACAUUCCCGUGCUUCUCGUCACCGUGACGCGGUGACGGGGUGAUGAAUGGACCGCGCGCUGACGGAAUAGCGCGUUGAAGACCGUACCCUUUGACGGUGGUAGUCAAGCACGCCACCGGAGGCGAAAGUCGAUAGUACCUCGAGGCCUCGGCCGAGGGGAUAGCGUCCAGGCAAUUAACCCCCUAGAAAACCCGCUAAACUUCAAGUGACGAGGAACCGUACUGUAAACGGACACACGUGGUCGGGUAGAACAUACCAAGGCGCUCGAGUGAUUCAUGGUCAAGGAACUAGGCAAAAUAGUCCUGUAACCUCGGGAAAAAGGACGCUCUAGUGAUAGAGCCGCAGAGUAAUGGCCCAGGCGACUGUUUACCAAAAACACAUGGCUAUGCCAAAUCGAAAGAUGACGUAUAUGGCCUGACACCUGCCCGGUGCCGGAAGGUUAAGAGGAGAGCUCAUCCGCGAGGAGAAGGUUUGAAUUGAAGCCCCGGUAAACGGCGGCCGUAACUAUAACGGUCCUAAGGUAGCGAAAUUCCUUGUCGGGUAAGUUCCGACCUGCACGAAUGGUGUAACGAUCUGGGCACUGUCUCGACCAUGAGCUCGGUGAAAUUGUAGUUCCGGUGAAGAUGCCGGGUACCCGCGACGGGACGGAAAGACCCCGUGAACCUUUACUGCAGCUUCGCGUUGUUCCCGGGCACGGGACGUGUAGGAUAGGUCGGAGGCUACGAUUCGGUUUCGCCAGGAAUCGAGGAGCCAUCGUUGAAAUACGACCCUUCUCUUGUCUGGGAUCUAACCCUGGUUAUAGGGGACACCGCGUGGUGGGUAGUUUGACUGGGGUGGUCGCCUCCAAAAGCGUAACGGAGGCUUCCAAAGGUACCCUCGGGUUGGUUGGUAAUCAACCUCAGAGUGCAAUGGCACAAGGGUGCUUGACCGGGAGACCAACGAGUCGAUCGGGUGCGAAAGCAGGGCAUAGUGAUCCGGUGAUCCCGCGUGGAAGGGUCAUCGCUCAAAGGAUAAAAGGUACUCCGGGGAUAACAGGCUGAUCGCCCCCAAGAGCUCAUAUCGACGGGGCGGUUUGGCACCUCGAUGUCGGCUCGUCACAUCCUGGGGCUGGAGAAGGUCCC
rnacentral:rRNA from 1 species